AGCUGGUAGUCCUUGCUUCAAGUAGGAUGGGUAGUUGGUACUCCUCAUAUUUAUGGUGCAUUGCUCUAUGACCCGUAGUAUUUGUGCAGUGGUCUCUACAGCCUCCUACCAGAGAACAAUUUUCUCAGACCUUUCCUUGGGUAAGUGCUUUGGCCUUGAUAUUAUUUUUAUUUGUAGGCACACAGAAAAAAAGCUGGUGUUGCAUAUAGUCUGAGGUGCUCUACAUUUUAAUAGUUAAUGUUCAGCAAAAUAUGUUAGAAUUUGUCAGAGUGCCAAGAUAACUUCCUAUUAAAUAUUAUAACAUAACAAACACCGGGUUUGAAAUUUGUCAUUUGCUGUCUUAAUUUCUGCACCUCUGAAAAGAUUUUAACACAUGAAAAAAUCAUCUCUUCUAUUUUCCAACAAAACCUUACAUGGUGAUCAGAGAAAAAGGGGUAAUAAUUUAUAUUCCUCAAAAUAUUAAACCCAGGAGCUUUAUCCGCAUUUACUGGAGUAGUGACGUUAGAUGUAUGAUUAAUUAAGCCUCUUAGGAAUAAAUUCUUUUAUCUUCUCAUGCUAACUUUUCUGUUUUGAAUGUACAGAAUUGCACCCUAUAAUAUGUUCAUAAAGUCAAAUAUCUAUUUACGGUCCAAGAACAGUGACCAGCUCACCUGAUCCUUCUUUAGAAGAUUGAUUUUCUCAAUGCAAUAUUUUGUUGUUUCUGCUAUAGGACCACGGCCUGUGGCAUUUUUAAAACUGGUAGUAAGUGUGAUAUCAUAUCCAAUUAAUGCCUUAUGGCAUCCAUAAAUUAAUACGUGAAUUGGAAGCAGGUAUUGUGUCAAAGAAUGGAUUUUUAUAAUCUAUGGAAAGGGUUAGAUUUUAACCCAUACUGUUUUAAAUUACGAAAGGUUAGCUUUUUUUUCUGGAAAAAUUCUCCAAAAAAACAUUUUCAUUUCUUUUCCACCAGGAGGUUGCUGUUUAAAGAGUAUCAUUUACUAGAGGAACAAAUGAUUGAACUUUUCCUGGCAGAGAAGAGUGAAAGGAGAAACUCUGGAUAACUAUGCGAUGUUACUGUUUAUCUUACAAGGGAGGGCUUCCCUGCGGUGGGAUGCAGUUUAACACAACACAAGUGAGCCUGCCCCUCUGGAGACUGUAUGACCAGGAGAUAAUCCAAUAGUGAUGAAGUUAAUCAAUACCUCACUUUAGCAAACAGUUAAAUAUACUUAUAAGAAUUCAAAAAAGUGGUCUGAAGUCAGAGGAAAAAAAAAAAAAGUUUGUACCAAGGUCACUGAAGAGAAUAACGAAAAGGAAGCCUGUAUUUUAAACUUCAUGGCAUUGGGCCAGGCAAAAUUUUUACUUUUGCUUUCUGCAGAUGAUUAAUUCGGCUUACCCAUAAACCGCGUAGCUGCAGAAUAAACAGAGUGACUUUAGUAAGAGGAGACCAGGAAAGGAGAGAGGAAGGGAGCAUGGGAAGGGAACAGCAUUUCUAACUGUGCCCAAAGGCACAUGACAGGCACCCCACGAAUAUUUGUAUAUGAGUGAAUAAACACAUAAAUGAAAAAAUAAAUAGUGAGGAAAAAGAAAAAGAAAAGAAAAGGGGUUCUGGACAAGGAGUAGCCCUGAGGACUGAUGGGAAAUGUGUACUAAGUAAUAAGAAGGGAACUUUGACCGCAGUGCUGGCUGCAAUGACGCUACUGGUGAAGCACUUUAAAGCAAGCAUGAAGGAGGCUUUAUAGGACUGGGGGAGACCUCAAAAAUGAACGGACUUUUAAAGGCUCACGCAGGAGUAAGGAGAGGUGAACAGCCUCUCCUUAUUUUCAGGAGAUUUGGGCAGCAUCAAAGAGCCUCCCGUUCCCCUGGAGAAAGAAGGCACGUUAUUAUGCAAUGCGCAGCCUUUGAAAUAAAACAGAUCUGGGUUCAAAAUUAGGCUCGGUUACAUCAUAGCUGUAUGAUUUACCUCCAGCAAAUGUCUUAGCCAUUCAGAACUCAAGGGGGAGACAUAUUAUAUAUCAAAGGCCAUGGCCGGUGGUAUUUACUGGAAACAGGGUGGCUCUGGGCUGGUUGCUACGUUGAUGAAAAAGUUCCCAACUUCUGCAGACCACAGAUGCAAUAAACAACGUCAUUCUUUGCUGGCCUUAUAAUUAGCAGGGGACUGCUACAUAAAGCCAGAUCUAUGGGAAAGGAAGGAAAAUACAGAAUCAUACUUCAGUGUACAGCUCGCACACACGUACUGCAUUAACCCUGUACCAGGUUUUUAUUGAGUGUCUCGUCUCUGAUACGGUGACAUGAGCAACGUUUAACUCUAAUCAUAAUGAGUUUUCCAUGACAAGACCGUGCUGCUUUCCCAAACCCAAGGCAAACUUUUCAGACUCUGCUCACAGGUAUGAUUUUGUUAUGUUCUUUGACCCUCUGGUUAGGCAACCUUAAGACAUUCACAACAGUGGAAAACGAAAGACGUCUUCAAUUCCCUGUCUGGCCAAAAGUGAGGAUAUGUGACAGGACUAUUCAAGGCCUUUUUGAGAAAUGAGAUGCUUUCAGCUUUCUUCUCUUUCCCCUCCAGCUUAAAUUGGAAUUAAUCCUAUACUAAUUGGGCCAUUUUCCCUUUCCCUGUCUAUUUCCUGAUGUAUUAAUCGAGAAGAGCUUCAAAGCCAACCAGACAUGGACUCAAAUUUCAAGGUUUUUUUUUUCCUCCUGUCAUACUCCUUAGUCUUACCCCAGGCCCUCUGGACACCUUACUCUUGAGACUGUGGAAUCAUUUGAAAAGAUUGCUUCUCAAGUUUUUCAUCAUACUUCUACCCCAAAACUGAAGGGGUAAAAAUGGGGAAUGAUCAACUUCUUCCUCUUUUUUCGUCUGAUAUUUUUUUGUUUUGGCCAUGCCUGCAGCAUCCAUAAGUUCCCAGGCCAGCGAUGGAAUCUCAGCCACAAGAGUGACAACACCGAAUCCUUAACUGCUAGACCACCUGGAAACUCAACUUCUUUCUUAUUCUCUUGCAACCGUGUGAUACAGUCUGGAGUCCUUCAGCCAGUGGCCACUGUCAGUGCUCAGCUGACCCUGGAGGAACCCUGCCUCUUUGAUGCUGUGAUCAUCCUGCUUUCCUCACCAACCCACAAUGGGAAAGCUGUGCACAUGGCGAGUCUUUGAUAGAAUAUGUGGACAAAACUUCUUAGCAACCAUGGCUUAAAAAUACAUGGUUUUUGAGGAAAAUGUUCUAUACAUAGUUUCAGAAACGAAAAUGCUAUUACUUUUUGAAUAAUUCCAAGUGAAUUACACAUGAGAGGCAGAGGAAAUUAUGUGCAGCAUAAUUUCUUCCAGGAAGAACACUGAAUUUGUUCUGAAGUAACUGUUUUAUAAGUCCGCUCGGGACUUGGGGACAGCUGCCAAAGUUCAGUCCCCAAAGAGAUUCCCUCAUGGGUAGAGUAUCACUUAUCCAGAGAUAAGGAGGAAACACUUUCGUUGUCAUAGGAAAGAGGUAAGAAGAGGAAAAGGGGCUAGAGCAGAUAAACUACGUCAUUGUGUGGAAUAAGCUCCUUCUGCACCUGUAAUCAUUAGUAAAAUGUGUCUGUUUUUUAAAUUUUUUUGUGAGAGAAGAUGGUCUGAGAACUAGACUAUAUCCAGAGAUUCUGAGUGCAAACAGACAAGCCAGGAGAUAUCAGGUACACCAGGUACACAAUACACAGGUUAUGUGUUCCAUUUUGAAAACAGGCUAUUUAGGAAGAUUGGGGAAUGUAUUAAAUUUUAAAACAUUAUGUACAAUUAUUAGGGGCUAUCUUACAGUACAAACCCAGAUUUGAAUCUAGACUCUCCUUCUUGCCAGUUAUAAUCUUUUUGAAAUUUCUAUUUUUGUGAUUUUAUUUAUUUGCUUAUGUAUUUAUUUAUUUAUUUUUAGGACUACACCUGUGGCAUA